ACAGGGAGCUACCUACCUACCUCUAAGUAUUGUUUGCCAAUUGAUUCAUGGAUGAACUUGGUUAAGGAAAAAAAUCUAGACCUGGACAAAAGAGCCAGAAGUUAUUGGGAUACAAUAACCAUGUAUCUUGUAUGGUUAGCAUGCCUGCGGAUGACUUCAUCAACACAGUUUCAGAAACUACUCAUUAACUCCAGUCAUGGAUCUGGCCAGGUGGCUCUGGAUUCCGGCAAUGCUACCUUAUUUCAUUGUCCCACCGGACCCAAGUCGGACCCAAGUGUGAGACAAGCAUUCACCUAUUGUUAGCCUUUAGUUUGUGUCUCACUAAAUUGUUUUGCCAACUUACAUAAUAAAUUCCCUCUAUGAAAUCUCUACUACUUGAAAUACCUGGAAUGAUUCAGUUCCUAGGCAAAUACUGAAUUAUACAAUGGGGCAGACUAACCACAGAAAUAAUUUUCAUAAAAGUCAGACUUAUGAAAGACAAAAUGCCUUGGGCUUGGGUGGAGAAGUCAAGGCUUGGGACUCAUAGGAAAUUGUUGGAAACGUUUUCUGGAAGAGUUGGACCUUGAGAUGGUCCUGAAAGAGAGAAGAAGACUGAGCAAUAAAGACUAGGAGAUAUGAAAACACACACAUACACAAACACACAUGUGUGCGCGCACGCGCAAGCACACACAAGCAAAAACACAAUUUCAUGCUGAAGAAACGAAUAAGAAAAAACAAAGAGAAAGAACAAAAAU
rnacentral:lncRNA from 1 species